AUGAUGAUGAUGGCCAAAUUAAUCAGGCAAUGAUGUUAUUGUGUACUUGUUUGUUUCCGUGAGUUUUUUGUCACCCCUCGUAAGCAUAAUAAAGUGUGUUUCCGGAGCCAGAUCUCCAAUUACAUCAAAAGUAAGGUGAGAUGGUGGUUCAUGAGUCACGACAAGAACUCGGUGUUGAUUUUAAGAUCCGUUUGCUGAAGUCGGUGAACAAUCUGAAAACUAGACCACCUUCUUACCGCAUCGGCUCUCUCUUCAUUUUUGGUCCGUGAACGAUUUGACAGAUAAUAAUAGAAGAAUGUGAUUAUUAUUUCUCAGUUCAAAACUUCGUGCUCAAGAUCUCUAUUAAG
rnacentral:lncRNA from 1 species